rnacentral:rRNA from 1 species
AUUGCCUCAGUAACGGCGAGUGAAGCGGCAACAGCUCAAAUUUGAAAUCUGGCUCUCGGGCCCGAGUUGUAAUUUGUAGAGGAUGCUUUUGGUGAGGUGCCUUCCGAGUUCCCUGGAACGGGACGCCAUAGAGGGUGAGAGCCCCGUCUGGUUGGACACCGAUCCUCUGUAAAGCUCCUUCGACGAGUCGAGUAGUUUGGGAAUGCUGCUCUAAAUGGGAGGUAUAUGUCUUCUAAAGCUAAAUACCGGCCAGAGACCGAUAGCGCACAAGUAGAGUGAUCGAAAGAUGAAAAGAACUUUGAAAAGAGAGUUAAACAGUACGUGAAAUUGUUGAAAGGGAAGCGCUUGUGACCAGACUUGGGCUUGGUUGAUCAUCCGGGGUUCUCCCCGGUGCACUCUUCCGGCUCAGGCCAGCAUCAGUUCGCCCUGGGGGAUAAAGGCUUCGGGAAUGUGGCUCUCUCCGGGGAGUGUUA